GAACAGGCCUCUGCUUUUUAAAUGGUACUCUUUUUAGGAUAGGGAAACAUCCGAAUGGGUUGUGUGAUGGGUGCAAUGCUAUGGAGACGGUUGAGCAUGUGCUCCUUAGUUGUAGGAAGUAUGCAAAUCACAGGAGGGUGAUGUGGGGUGAAAUGAGUGGUGGAAGGGAACUUACGUUUGAACAAGUGUUAAUAAGUUAAGACAUGGUGAAGGGAAAGUGGUGGUUUUUCGUUUUUUGAGAAAUACUGGUCUCAUCAAGAGGAUCUGAGGAUUCUUGAGUGACGGAAGAUUAAAAGCCAGGAGAUGGCAGUAAUGCAACAAUUUUGGAUGCAGGCUGCCAUUAAAAUUGACAGAAGAAGAAGAAGGCGCUCUUCUCUUCUCAUUUGCACUGUUGAGUGGCGGUGAGCAGUGGUGAUUUGGAAAAGUAGAGAGUCUGAGAAGAUUUAGUUGCCAUUCACACACUGAAGCUGUAUUGCCCUAUGGCGGAGAUUAAAGUGGUGAUCUAAGAUGACACUAAGCAAGUUGUGCAGCAAACAGCAGUCAUCUGGAGCUUGAUUUUUAGGAAGGUGUAAGAACGACACAGGAGACGUUUUACAGGUGGAAGGGUUAAUAAACUGACCGGAAAAGCCUUCAGACUCUGUGGUCGUAAGACCAAGCCUUACGCCAGGCCGGAGAGAGACCGCGAUGAACUGGACACCACCCAAAUAGCACUGGACAAACACAGGCACAGAACCCCUCUGCAUGAUGAGGAUGAUGAUGAGCCCAUGACAUUUCUGGAAUAUUUACGUCGUAUAGAACAGGAAGAAGAAGACAAAAAACAAGCAACUACAAUACAGGCUGUGUGUGAUAGUGGAGAGCUAGACCCAUUUUUUUUUUUUUUUAACAACUGGUCAUCUGCACCUCAGGGUGAGUGCGUGCCUGGUGAUUUUAUCAGUGUUUUUGAGCACAGUGUAUGAGACUUUAAUUUAGAUCUCUUACCUACCAUACCCUGGUGCAUUAGAAUUAAUGAUGAUGAUGAUGAUGAUGAAGUUACACACAUAGAUUUUGAAGAAGGUUGUAAAACAGAUUCUCAACUAGCAGAGGCUUAUGAACCCUGCAUGAAUACCACCGGUGCUCUGCUUUCUGACCAGAGUUCUAGCGACCCAAUAGCUGAUAACAUGUGGUAGAAGCUAAACUUAACCAACAACAACAAGCAACACAUGAAUACUUACAAGAGAUAGUCGGAGCUCUGAUUUUAACGUGGCAAUAAACAAAACGUGCUGUCUAUUAGAUAACAUCUGUACCAGGAUUUUUAAUGUGUGACUUUUAAAGCCCUCCCCAUGGACCCUCUUAAUAAGUUAUUCAAACACAGCAAUGGUACCGCUAAGCCUGUUAGAUGGUUUGACUUUGAGGUAUUUAAUCAGAGGAUUGAAGAAAUUUUAACGAAAUGUGAUAUUUUACACAGAAGACUGAAUAGUAUGCGUAUCUGUGAGAACGCAACCCGUGCCACACCAUCUGAUGCCGCGAAUGCUGUUUCUGCUGCUCCUGCACACAUCACAGUACAUCCCCAUUAGGGGUGGGCGAUAGAAACGAUAUAAAUUUGGCCAACGAUAGAGAUUUUAACUAUAUCGCUCUAUCGCGAUAGCGCAUGUUGAUGAUGUCAUCAAGCUGCGCCUGUUUUGGUCGAAAGCAUCGCAGCGGCUACAACCAUUAUCAUCUGCAAAUUAUGCUGGGCGACAGUCAUAGCAAAGAGAUGAAGCACUUUUGAAAUAUGGGGAAAGCCAAAAACUGCGCUUCCUCCACUUCUGUAACAUUGAUUCAUUAAUAUUGAAUUCUCUCGCAGUUGUUCUAUUCCCAUAUUGUUGCAGUAUAUUAAUAACUGACCUUGUAUUGUGGAUGAAUAAUCUCAGUUGUUCUCCUGACUGAAGUUUGGCCCGUGUAUAGCAUCCUGCUAUGCGAUUGCAUUUGUCCCUAACCACCAGAACCCCUCACCUUAACUUUUAUCAAGUGGAAAAAAAGCUGGUGUUCAUCCUCCAGCUUCACUGUGCAAAUGUUAUGCUAACAUAGCUGUGUCGCUAGCAAUCACGUAGCACAACAUUAUAUACCAGGUAGUCCAACUUCAGUAACUCUGCAAACGCCACUGCUGUUUAGUUUUCUGUCUUCAUUUAUGUUGGAAGUGAUAGCAGAGCUGAACGUUUUAAUUAGUUUCAAAAAUCUCUCAGUCAGAACAUGGUAUGUCAUGUUUAGGUGGAAACUAGCGAGCUAACUUCCUGUUAACUUCUAACUCAGUUAAAUUUAAUAAAUUCUGUUUUCAUGGAUGCAUGGAUGUUAAACUUAAUUGUUACACCUGGUAAAGCAGCAACGCUGAUGAUUUUAUUAAAGAUGGAAGAAUUUAGACUGUUUUUAACUCUGUGUUCGUUUGACUUUGGGACCUGAAGUGACGGAGUUUUGGAUCCAGAUUACUCCGCGAAGCUCCUCAGUACGGCAGCCAUAAUGCUCUGACAUCAAAACAUUUUUUUAACAGAUUUCUGCACGCCAAAAUCGGUUCGAGGUCAGUAAGCACAACCAGAAUUCAUACAUAAAGCACACUCGAUUUUUGAGAAAAUUAAAGGAUUUUAAGUGUGCCUUAUAGUGGGGAAAAUAUGUUAUACAGAAGAAAAGAAUAUAUCGUGAUAUAUAUCGUUACCGCACAUGUUUCAAAUUAUAUCGCGAUAUGGAUUUUAGGCCAUAUCGCCCAGCCCUAAUCCCCAUUCCUCUAACGUGAUCACUAUUCCUUCUGCAUGAGCCCUCCAACACAGAAAAUGUGUUAUGUGUUAAUCCUUCACAGACAAGAGCUGCCCUUACCAAACCCGUUGUACAGCAUGAGACAUACCUGCUUCUAAUGCAAGAGAAUUGCGUGAGCGUAUUGAUUUUAGAGACAUAAGCAUGGAUAUUCCAGACCAGCUACCAGCGAGGGUAAGAGAUUGCGUAGCCAAUGUCAUAGAAAGAGCAGUGUCCGGCUGUCAGCUGGGCAAAUGUUGUUUUGAGAGGCCCUUCCCUGGCUUCUGAUGUACAGACUGUUUUAAAUGCUGAAGAUGAGUACGAUACAGAUCUGUUUCAUGUUGAAAUAGCGCAGGUCAUGCAGAGUAAUGAUGGUUCUAUAGGUGAUGGCAAAUUAGAGUUUAUUGUCACAGUAACGUAGAACAGUAGCGCUGGUGCCUGUUUAAGACUGGCACGCAUACCAUAUGACAACAUACUGUCAAAGAACAGUAAACAUUUGUACAUACCAAACAAUGUCCCCAAAAAGCUUGUCCCUUUGCAUAGCACAUGCAUUUAAUGCAACAUCGCCUGAGCAUGAAAAACUAGCUACAGCUAAACAACUACAUAUAGAGGUACAGCUAUGUGACACACAACAAGUAGCACUCUCUGAUGUUAGUGGAUUUGAGAAACACUUAAACAUCAAGAUCGUAAUCUAGUAUGCUGCAGGGUGUAAACGCCUGCAUUGUUCAUUUCACACAUGAUGAGCCCAAGCCCAAAAACACUUAUGUUGUAUCUGCACAAUGAAUGUUACCAGCUGACUGAAAAACCCACAGCUUUUCUCAGGGCUGCUUAUGUGUGUAAUUUCUGUUACAGUACAUAUGAAGCACCGCUUUACCACAGCUGUAAAUACAGAUGUAACAUAUGUUUCACACUCUGUCAUCAGCACGGCGGACCACUGCGAAGUGCGCCGACUGUAACCGCAUCUGCAAAUCACAACACUGUUACUAACAGCACAAAUUAGCAGAAAUGAAACAUAACAUGGUACCUUGUGAUAAUAUGAAGCAUUGUAUGUGUUGCGGUAUCGCGUAUAGGCAAGCAAAGAAAAAACCCCACAGAUGUGCUCAGCCCACAUGUGAGUACUGCCGUGAGCCUAAACUAGCCAGCGACUCAGACCACCAGUGUUUCAUACAGCCUAUUGAAAAAGAGAAACCUCAUGAAAAUAUGAUUUUGAGACCCGGUAUCACAACGGCAAACACAAGGCUAAUUUUGUGUGUACAUUGGAUCUGAAGGGCAAUAAGUUCUCAUUUAAUACACUAAAAUGUGUGGCUGCUUUCGUGAAGCAUUACCGAUGCUCAAAAUUUUGUGGGUACACGUUCAAAGCACAUUAACCCUGUCAGCAAGGCAUCCUACGACUGCUGCAUCGCGCGUUUUGUGAUAAAGUGAAUGCGUUGAGAUCACAACAGUGUGAACGUGGUUGUGAUGUGGGAAUGUGAAUGGGAGACAUUGAAGCAGAUACACAAAGCCUUGAGAUGCCCCCUUUGGAGAGCGCACCAACACCAUGAAACUGUACCGCAAGACUACUUGUGAUGAAAAUUUUUUUUACUAUGACUUUACCAGCCUCUAUCUCACAGUGCAGUUUAAAAAGAUUAUCAUGUCAGGCACCCACACAUCAUUUACAACAACUUUGACAGGCUAGAAAAUUAUUUCGGCUUUGUUAAAUGCUAAGUACUCCCACCUAAAGGUCUGUUUCACCCAGUCCUUUCUUACAGAUGCCACAACAAACUGAUGUUCCCACUCUGUAGCAUGUGUGCUGAAAAGCAGAACAAGCAGAUAGCGUGCCUGCCCACUGACUGAGAGAAUGUUGUCGGGCACCUGGGUGUCGUUUGAGCUCGAAAAAGCUCUCGAAAGGACACAGGAUUGUUUCUAUUGAUGAGGUGCUGCAUUUUCCCAAUAAGACAGACACGUUGUUUAAAGCCUUUAAAAACUUAAACAGGAGGCUUCAGGCUAUGCAGAACAUGUUAAAACUCCUGAUGACCAGCAGAAACACACUGACGAGUGUUAGGAGGAGGAGGGAAUAAUGCUAGACUCGACCAAGAUAUGUGUAAAUAAAGCUGUUAGAAACUGUAACAAACAUGCCUUCAUCUGAGUUGAUCACGGACCCUUCUAGAUUUAGCCAGUUAAUGUUUAGUGACUAGUACAACGUGCGUCAGUUUAGUUUCAUCUCAGAUGAUGUCGUCAUGGUGCAGUGGCGCCAUGCUAAUGGUAGAGAUGCUCGUGUGAAGGAUGUUAAUGUCUUUGUGGGUGCCAUGACCACUGCAAAUGCUAGACUGAUGAUGUAUGAUUUGCUAGACAAGCUAUCGAAGCGCAUGUUGUAUUGUGACACGGGCAGUGUCAUUUUCACAGCACGCCCUGGCGACUGGAUGCCACCUCUAGGACCUUUCCUCCGGAAUCUCACUAGUGAAUUAGACUCUGGAGAAGGGGGUGCGGAGGAUUACAUAGUCGAAUUUGUGUCCGCAGGGCCAAAAUGCUAUGCAUAUCACACCUUGCAGGGUAAUACAUACAAGUUAAAUGUAAAUUUGUAACAUUGAACGCGCUAAACACAAAAGUUAAUUUGAAGAAUGUAACUGUUGUGAAGAAGGUUUAAAGCGGACUACAACUAGCGCCGUGUUUCCAGACUAUACAACACGCCCUUAUGGAUAUUAAAUUAGAUUAAGGGUUUAAUGGCAGACUCCAGCAACCCUUUUAGCAUGGUUAUCAGUGGCCCCAGUAACUGCAGAAAGACUUUUUUUUUUCUUUUUUUUCUUUUUUUUUUGUCAAAAACGUUGUUGAAAAUGCUUCCAGGAUGAUGAUGAUUAUUAUUAUUGUUAUUUCACAUAGUAUUGAAAGAUUAAAGGGGGGUCCCUUUGAGUGGCUGGAUUUUUGAAAUAAAAUCUUUUUUUAUAAUUAAAAUGUUGUUGGUUUUUUUCUGUUAUUACCGCUAAAAUGUUUUUCUUGUAUUUCUGCUAAAAUGUUUGUUGGUGGUUUUUCACUUUAUUCCCGCUAAAAUAUUUGUUUCUUUUAUUUCUGCUCCAAUGUUUAUUUUUACUCAUUACAGCUAAAUAAUGAAUUUUUCAUUUCUGCUAAAGCGGCUAUGAUGUGA